GACGAACGCUGGCGGCGUGCCUAAUACAUGCAAGUAGAACGCUGAAGAGAGGAGCUUGCUCUUCUUGGAUGAGUUGCGAACGGGUGAGUAACGCGUAGGUAACCUGCCUUGUAGCGGGGGAUAACUAUUGGAAACGAUAGCUAAUGCCGCAUAACAAUGGAUGACCCAUGUCAUUUAUUUGAAAGGGGCAAAUGCUCCACUACAAGAUGGACCUGCGUUGUAUUAGCUAGUAGGUGAGGUAACGGCUCACCUAGGCGACGAUACAUAGCCGACCUGAGAGGGUGAUCGGCCACACUGGGACUGAGACACGGCCCAGACUCCUACGGGAGGCAGCAGUAGGGAAUCUUCGGCAAUGGGGGCAACCCUGACCGAGCAACGCCGCGUGAGUGAAGAAGGUUUUCGGAUCGUAAAGCUCUGUUGUAAGUCAAGAACGAGUGUGAGAGUGGAAAGUUCACACUGUGACGGUAGCUUACCAGAAAGGGACGGCUAACUACGUG
rnacentral:rRNA from 1 species